UACGUAGGGGGCAAGCGUUGUCCGGAAUCAUUGGGCGUAAAGAGCUCGUAGGCGGCUUGUCGCGUCGGCUGUGAAACCUGGGGCUCAACCCCGGGCCUGCAGCCGAUACGGGCAAGCUAGAAUUCGGUAGGGGAGACUGGAAUUCCUGGUGUAGCGGUGAAAUGCGUAGAGAGUGUGGAGGAACACCAGCGGCGAAGGCGGCAUCCGUGGACUGG
rnacentral:rRNA from 1 species